AUUGAACGCUGGCGGCAUGCCUUACACAUGCAAGUCGAACGGCAGCACGGGUGCUUGCACCUGGUGGCGAGUGGCGAACGGGUGAGUAAUACAUCGGAACAUGUCCUGUAGUGGGGGAUAGCCCGGCGAAAGCCGGAUUAAUACCGCAUACGAUCUACGGAUGAAAGCGGGGGACCUUCGGGCCUCGCGCUUUAGGGUUGGCCGGUGGCUGAUUAGCUGGUUGGUGGGGUAAAGGCCUACCAAGGCGACGUUCAGUAGCUGAUCUGAGAGGACGAUCAGCCACAUGGGAACGUAGACACCGACCAGAGUACUACGAGAGGGAGCAGUAGGGUAUGGUCAGGAAUGGGCGGGAGUCUGACGGAGCAGUGGCGAGUGAGAUACAAAGGGCUUCGGAGCGUGAAGAUCUGUUACGAGAGAAGAACAAAUCUCGCAGUAACUCUGCACGGCGUGACGGGAAUUAAUCAGAAAGACACGGCUAACUACGUG
rnacentral:rRNA from 1 species